rnacentral:rRNA from 1 species
UGGGGAAUAUUGCGCAAUGGGCGAAAGCCUGACGCAGCGACGCCGCGUGGGUGAUGAAGGCCUUCGGGUCGUAAAACCCUGUCGGGUGGAACGAAUCCCCCGCGGAAUAAUACUUCGCGGGGUUGACGGUACCACCGAAGGAAGCCCCGGCUAACUACGUGCCAGCAGCCGCGGUAAUACGUAGGGGGCGAGCGUUGUUCGGAUUUACUGGGCGUAAAGAGCGCGUAGGCGGUUCGAUCAGUCGGAGGUGAAAUCCCUCGGCUCAACCGAGGACCCGCGUCCGAUACUGUCGAACUUGAGUGCAGGAGAGGAGAGCGGAAUUCCCAGUGUAGCGGUGAAAUGCGUAGAUAUUGGGAGGACACCGGUGGCGAAGGCGGCUCUCUGGACUGCUACUGACGCUGAGGCGCGAAAGCUAGGGGAGCAAACGGGAUUAGAUACCCCGGUAGUCCUAGCCGUAAACGAUGGGCACUAGGUGUGGGAGGUAUCGACCCCUUCCGUGCCGCAGCUAACGC